GGUUACAGUAGAUAAUUCCAAAAUUCUAAAAGCAGGCAUCUCAUUGCCAUAUGUCAUGUUAUAUAUCAAUACAGUUUCAUUGAUCUCUAUGCAAUAUUCUUAAAGAAAAUGCAGCUUUUAUGUAUUUGUCCAUAGGCUCAAUGUUAAACAUUUGCCCUGUUUCCAUGACAAUGGCGGCCAUUUUGGAAUUUCUAAAUAUUGUCUUGACAUCUAGGCAUACCAAGGAACAUUUCCAUAAAGUUUCAUCCAGCUAGGUCUUAUAAUGAAAGAUUUAGAAUUUUGAAAAUUUUUUCACUUUUUUGCAGUUUCCAUGGAAACGGCGGCCAUUUAAAAAAAAUUCCAGAGUCAGAUGCACAACUUCACAUGGGGGUCCUCAUUAUGUUAUAGUUCCAACAUUAUUGGAUCACUCAAUUCUUAGAAACACGAUGGACAAAAUGUGUGGAAGAAUAAUAAAAAUAAGAAAAAAAAGAAACGUAGAAUAACAAUACGUCACCCCAACUCCGUUGAGGGUGCCAUAAUAAGAACUGAGCAAAAACAAUAAGUCUCCAAACUUUGUUUGGGAGACUUAAUUAA
rnacentral:lncRNA from 1 species